AACCCACAUAACUCUGCUGAAUUAUGACCAAACUGCUUUCACUAUUUAUAAUAUAAAAAAGAAGAUGUGGUAUGAUUACCAAUGAGGCAACUCUCCAAAAGAGACCAAAAUGACACAUAAAUUAACAAUUAUAAGUAACCAUAUGGCCUUCAACAAUGAUAAAAGCCCAUACCGCAUAAUUGGCUAAAAAAGGCCCCGAAAUGACAAUGUAAAUCAAUUCAAAUGAGAAAAUUACUGGCCUCAUUUUAUAAAAAAAAUUAACAAAGAACAAAUAUGUAACACAUAAUCAAACGACAACCACUGAAUUACAGGUUCCUGACUUGGGACAGGCACAUACAUACAUAAUGUGGCGGGGUUAAACAUGAUAGCAGGAUCCCAACCCUCCCCUAACCUGUGAUAGUGGUAUAACAGUACAAC
rnacentral:lncRNA from 1 species